rnacentral:rRNA from 1 species
UUAGAGUUUGAUCCUGGCUCAGAACGAACGCUGGCGGCGUGCUUAAUACAUGCAAGUCGAACGAGAAAGCCCGACUUCGGUUGGGCAAGUAAAGUGGCGAACGGGUGAGUAACACGUGGAUAAUCUGCCCUUGAGUCUGGGAUAAUCCUCCGAAAGGAGGUCUAAUACCGGAUAAGACCACGGGAUGGCAUCUUCCUGAGGUCAAAGGUGGGGUAACCUACCGCUUGAGGAUGAAUCCGCGCUCCAUUAGCUUGUUGGUGAGGUAACGGCCCACCAAGGCUACGAUGGAUAGCCGGCCUGAGAGGGUGAUCGGCCACACUGGGACUGAGAUACGGCCCAGACUCCUACGGGAGGCAGCAGUAGGGAAUAUUGCGCAAUGGACGAAAGUCUGACGCAGCAACGCCGCGUGGGUGAUGAAGCUUUUUGGAGUGUAAAACCCUGUCAGUGGGGAAGAAACGUAUAGGGAGUAACUGCCCUGUACCUGACGGUACCCGCAGAGGAAGUCCCGGCUAACUCCGUGCCAGCAGCCGCGGUAACACGGGGGGGACAAGCGUUGUUCGGAUUCACUGGGCGUAAAGGGCGCGUAGGCGGAUCUUCAAGUCGGGUGUGAAAACUGGCGGCUUAACUGCCAGCCUGCAUUCGAUACUGUAGAUCUUGAGUACAGUAGAGGAAAGCGGAAUUCCAGGUGUA